rnacentral:rRNA from 1 species
CCUACGGGUGGCUGCAGUGAGGAAUAUUGGUCAAUGGACGAAAGUCUGAACCAGCCAUGCCGCGUGCAGGAAGACUGCUCUAUGAGUUGUAAACUUCUUUUAUACGAGAGUAAACGCAGAUACGCGUAUCUGUCUGUAAGUAUCAUACGAAUAAGGAUCGGCUAACUCCGUGCCAGCAGCCGCGGUAAUACGGAGGAUUCGAGCGUUAUCCGGAUUUAUUGGGUUUAAGGGGUGCGUAGGCGGUCUGAUAAGUUAGUGGUGAAAGUCCGAGGCUCAACUGUGGAAUUGCCUUUGAUACUGGUCGUCUAGAGAGCAGUUGAGGUAGGCGGAA